CAGCAGCCACGGUAAUACGGAGGGGGCUAGCGUUGUUCGGAAUUACUGGGCGUAAAGCGCACGUAGGCGGCUUUACAAGUCAGAGGUGAAAGCCUGGUGCUCAACACCAGAAUUGCCUUUGAGACUGUAUCGCUUGAACGUCGGAGAGGUGAGUGGAAUUCCGAGUGUAGAGGUGAAAUUCGUAGAUAUUCGGAAGAACACCAGUGGCGAAGGCGGCUCACUGGACGACUGUUGACGCUGAGGUGCGAAAGCGUGGGGAGCAAACAGGAUUAGAUACCCCAGUAGUCCCUGUCUCUUAUAC
rnacentral:rRNA from 1 species